rnacentral:rRNA from 1 species
UGGGGAAUAUUGCACAAUGGGCGCAAGCCUGAUGCAGCCAUGCCGCGUGUGUGAAGAAGGCCUUCGGGUUGUAAAGCACUUUCAGCGGGGAGGAAGGCGGUGAGGUUAAUAACCUCAUCGAUUGACGUUACCCGCAGAAGAAGCACCGGCUAACUACGUGCCAGCAGCCGCGGUAAUACGUAGGGCGCGAGCGUUGUCCGGAAUUAUUGGGCGUAAAGGGCUUGUAGGUGGCUGGUUGCGUCUGUCGUGAAAGCUCAUGGCUUAACUGUGGGGUUGCGGUGGGUACGGGCUGGCUUGAGUGCAGUAGGGGAGGCUGGAAUUCCUGGUGGAGCGGUGGAAUGCGCAGAUAUCAGGAGGAAUACCGGUGGCGAAGGCGGGUCUCUGGGCUGUUACUGACACUGAGGAGCGAAAGCAUGGGGAGCGAACAGG